rnacentral:lncRNA from 1 species
CCCAGCCCGCCCCGAUGGUUUGUUGUGUCUUGAGAAGUUGAGUGUUUGUGUGUCUCACCGUCACUGAGUUCGAGCACAAGUCUGAGCUGAAUGAGAGGUACUUUGUCUUUAGGCCCAUCUAGAUCUAGAUCUAGACUAGACUCUAGUACUGACUGUCGAAUGUCUCUACACUCGACUCCUACAAAUUUAUACUACAUCAUGAUCAUGUCUAGGCCUAGAGUCUACAUCAAUACAUUGUUGUACUUGAAUUUUGAAGCAAGUUUAAAAUCUGUGCAAGCAAAUAGCCAAUAAAUCAAUGUGUGUUCUUCCUAAUCUACAUGUAAUCUUAGUCAAAUUCAACCUUUCACAUGGGACAUCUAAUGCUAAUUUACAUGUACAUGUAGUCCCUAUCUAAUUUCACAUUUUAUCAAGCAUGAGUAGAUUUUUAACAAAACAUGACAGGAAUUGGCCCCUACGUUCUUAUGGAGGUUCAGUGACAUCAUCUUUCCUAAUUACCCAAUAGUAUGAAUCAAUAGCACUCAUUUCUUUUGCAAUCAAAGUAUCGUUAAUAUUUUUUUUAGAGUUUGCAAAAGCUAUUCAAAAUCAGAUUGUCUACAAUACAAAGAAUGCAAAACAUGUAAUAUCAUAGGAUUUAUUUGAUAAACAAUGAAUGAUAUUUUUUCAUUUCAUGUUCUAAUUUUAAUUCACUUUUUUCUAUUUUGUUGUGACAGAGACAGCAUGGCUAAAUAUAUUCACCAUCUCCGCCAGCUUGAUCGGAACAGAGAGUUGAUAGGCAGACCUCAGAGAGGCCUUCGUGACCCAUGAACCCUUUUGAAGUGUAUGAUGAUGAGUCAUUUCGGACCAGGUACUGGUUUUCCAAAGAGACAGCGUUCUACCUCAUCAACUUGGUGGAUGAAGAGCUGAGGAGGACGACAGACAGAAACGACCCAAUACCUAUACAGGGUCAUUCCAAAAGAUGCAUGGUGAUGAGGCACAACUUUCACAGUCUUCUGUAUGCAGAGUCAUCAAAGACGUGUCAGAAGCGUUUGCAAGAAGAAGGAAACAAUUCAUGAAGUUCCCAACAUCAAGAGAAGAAGUAGAAGCAACACAGCAGCAGUUCUACCAAUACUGCAGGUUGCCAGGUUUUCUAGGUGCAAUUGAUAGGACUCAUGUCUACAUCAGGAGUCCUGGUGGAGAUCAAGCCCUGUAUUUUAUUAAUAGUAAGAACAGAUACUCUAUUAAUGAAAUGAAAAUUUUCCCUUUUUUUGGAGAUGCUCCCCAUUUACUUUUAAUCCGAUUAAUUAAAUGACCGAUAUGGAAUUGGUUCACCCUUUAGUUUCUCUGAACGAAACGUACACCCAUGCAGUACUGUGGUCUGAAACAAUUAGACCGUAUGAUUUGAAAUCUAAUGGUUGAUAUAGUUCCUCCCAAAAACAUUUUUGCAAAAGGUACCAACCACUUUGAAAGGGAAAUCGUCAUCAUCUUCAUCAUCAUCAACAUCAUCACUGAAAUUGUUAUUUGACUGCUUCAUCACCAUCACCACCGACAACAUUGCUGUCAUCAUUAUCAUCACUGACAUCAUCAUCGACUUCAACAUUGUCUUCGUCAAUAACCUUGAAUACUUGUUUUGAUUAUCCAUAUUAAAUCGUCAAUAUUUAAAUAUAAA